rnacentral:tRNA from 1 species
UGGCUCAGUGGUAGAGCGCUUGUCUUGCAUGCAUGAGGCCCUGGGUUCAAUUCCCCAG